rnacentral:rRNA from 1 species
GACAGAGGUGCCAAGCGUUAGGCGGAAUCACUGGGCUUAAAGCGUGUGUAGGCGGACUUCUAAGUACCUUGUGAAAUCCCACGGCUUAACCGUGGAACUGCUCGGAAUACUGGUUGUCUUGAGCCACUUAGGGGCUACCGGAACAAAUGGUGGAGCGGUGAAAUGCGUAGAUAUCAUUUGGAACGCCAAUGGUGAAAACAGGUAGCUGGGAGUGUGCUGACGCUGAGACACGAAAGCCAGGGGAGCGAACGGG